CCUUUUUCCUUCUGAAUCAUGUAAAGAAACACAGCUCAAUGCCUUUAAUCCACAGUCAUGGCUCCAAGUUGAAAGAGGGAAGCUUUCCAAAUUCUCAUCACAGUCCUCUUCUUCCAUGUAAGUUAUCCUUCCAUGUAAGCUUUCCAAAUUCCGUUUUUGGCUUUCUGUUUGGUUACUGAGAAACUGGAGGAAAAGAAUCUGAAAUUGGAACCUUAAAGUUUCCAUUGUUUUGGUUCCAAGUAAACCUCAGCCAAGAAUUUUGUUUGCUAAGUAUUACAGCAAUCCUCAGUUUUCUCAGAAUCCAGACGGAGCCUCCAAGGAUUAAAUUAUCUCUUUUUUCAUAAAAUUGAGAUGGUAUUUUUGUUAAAUGUGUGUAGAGAAUCUCUUAUCAAGGUUCCUGAGCCACCCAUACUUCCAUUCUUUAAACCUGUCGAUUAUGUAGAAGUUCUAGCUCAAAUCCAUGAAGAACUUGAGUCAUGUCCUCCACAAGAGAGGUCGAAUCUUUAUUUAUUACAGUUUCAGGUCUUUAGGGGCCUUGGGGAAGUUAAACUGAUG
rnacentral:lncRNA from 1 species